CCUCUUAUUUCAAACGGGUAUAUGAAUAUGAGCCGGAGGCCAGCCUAGGGAAACGGUCCGUCAGGGAAAAAGGUGAAAACUCCAAAAGGCGAGAAAAAAGGAGUCGUCCCCACUUUCACUAAUGCAUUUCCUAAUCUUCCUCUUUAAGUUCCAAAUUCCACCAAUUAAAGCAUUUUCACACGUUCUUUGUGUUGCUUACUUACCUGCCCAUACCAAUUAGUCAAAAUGCCUUCAUCCCUCAAAUUCAAAUUAUCUAUAUAAGACUUAGAUUUAACUGUUCCACACUUAUCUCUUGCUUGGAAUUGAAAAGUGAA